UGCAGUCGAGGGGCAGCACAUGAGUAGUAAUACGAUGGUGGCGACCGGCGCACGGGUGAGUAACACGUAUGCAACCUGCCUGUAAGAGGGGAAUAACCCGUUGAAAGACGGACUAAUACCGCAUAAUACUUUAGAUCUGCAUGGAUUUAGAGUUAAACAUUUAUGGCUUACAGAUGGGCAUGCGUAUGAUUAGAUAGUUGGUGAGGUAACGGCUCACCAAGUCAACGAUCAUUAGGGGUUCUGAGAGGAAGGUCCCCCACACUGGUACUGAGACACGGACCAGACUCCUACGGGAGGCAGCAGUGAGGAAUAUUGGUCAAUGGGCGCAAGCCUGAACCAGCCAUCCCGCGUGCAGGAAGACGGCCCUAUGGGUCGUAAACUGCUUUUCUGGAGGAAGAAUUGCCCCGACGUGUCGGGGUUUGACAGUACUUCAGGAAUAAGCAUCGGCUAACUCCGUGCCAGCAGCCGCGGUAAUACGGAGGAUGCGAGCGUUAUCCGGAUUUAUUGGGUUUAAAGGGUGCGUAGGCGGACUAGUAAGUCAGUGGUGAAAUCCUGCAGCUUAACUGUAGAAUUGCCAUUGAUACUGUUGGUCUUGAGUUUGGUUAGGGUAGGCGGAAUGUGUAAUGUAGCGGUGAAAUGCUUAGAUAUUACCCAGAACACCGAUUACGAAGGCAGCUUACUGGACCGAUACUGACGCUAAUGCACGAAAGCGUGGGGAGCAAACAGGAUUAGAUACCCUGGUAGUCCACGCCGUAAACGAUGAUCACUCGCUGUUGGCGAUACACAGUCAGCGGCUAAGCGAAAGCAUUAAGUGAUCCACCUGGGGAGUACGGCCGCAAGGUUGAAACUCAAAGGAAUUGACGGGGGCCCGCACAAGCGGAGGAACAUGUGGUUUAAUUCGAUGAUACGCGAGGAACCUUACCUGGGCUUAAAUGUAGACUGCAUAGUGGGGAAACUCACUUUUCCUUCGGGACUGUUUACAAGGUGCUGCAUGGUUGUCGUCAGCUCGUGCCGUAAGGUGUCGGGUUAAGUCCCAUAACCAAGCGCAACCCUUAUCCGUAAGUUGCCAGCGGGUAAAUGCCGGGGA
rnacentral:rRNA from 1 species